rnacentral:lncRNA from 1 species
UGGUGAUACAUACCACCACCUACGGGACUCUGGAUGCCUCUUUAGACUGAAGAAGAAGUGGAAGAGUGAGAUGUUGGGGUCGAUCCCAGCUAACACGCAUACUGCGGUGAAACCGCAGAUGUGCCACCAUGAGUUGGGAACUAUUGUGCAUGGCAACACCUCAAAGUAUUGGAGGAGGAUGAUGAAGAAAGGAUGAAGGAAAAGCCUCAGCCGACCUGGAAGCAUUCCUCGUAGAGACUCAUCCUGCCUGGAGGAGGUUGGCAAGCAUGGUCAUUCGCCCC